rnacentral:rRNA from 1 species
GACGAACGCUGGCGGCGUGCUUAACACAUGCAAGUCGAACGGAAAGGCCCUGCUUUUGUGGGGUGCUCGAGUGGCGAACGGGUGAGUAACACGUGAGUAACCUGCCCUUGACUUUGGGAUAACUUCAGGAAACUGGGGCUAAUACCGGAUAGGAGCUCCUGCUGCAUGGUGGGGGUUGGAAAGUUUCGGCGGUUGGGGCUGGACUCGCGGCUUAUCAGCUUGUUGGUGGGGUAGUGGCUUACCAAGGGUUUGGCGGGUAGCCGGCCUGAGAGGGUGACCGGCCACAUUGGGACUAGGAUACGGCCCAGACUCCUACUGGAGACAGCAGUGGGGAAUAGUGCACAAUGAGCGGAGGCCUGAUGCAGCAACGCCGCGUGCGGGAUGACGGCCUUCGGGUUGUAAACCGCUUUCGCCUGUGACGAAGCGUGAGUGACGGUAAUGGGUAAAGAAGCACCGGCUAACUACGUG